rnacentral:rRNA from 1 species
GACGAACGCUGGCGGCGUGCUUAACACAUGAAAGUCGAACGGAAAGGCCUCUUUCGGGGGGUACUCGAGUGGCGAACGGGUGAGUAACACGUGAGUAACCUGCCCUUGACUUUGGGAUAACUUCAGGAAACUGGGGCUAAUACCGGAUAGGAGCUCCUGCUGCCUGGUGGGGGUUGGAAAGUUUCGGCGGCUGGGGAUGGACUCGCGGCUUAUCAGCUUGUUGGUGGGGUAGUGGCUUACCAAGGCUUUGACGGGUAGCCGGCCUGAGAGGGUGACCGGCCACAUUGGGACUGAGAUACGGCCCAGACUCCUACGGGAGGCAGCAGUGGGGAAGAUUGCACAAUGGGUGGAAGCCUGAUGCAGCAACGCCGUGUGCGGGAUGACGGCCUUCGGGUUGUAAACCGCUUUCGCUCAUGACGAAGCUUUGUGUGACGGUAGUGGGUAAAGAAGCACCGGCUAACUACGUG